AGUUGUGAGGGCAAUCUGUCACCCCCCUCUGGUCUCCAGGGUUGAUCCUGCUGGUGUGACUGGGCUAGGCAGCUGUCCCUCUCUCUUGCUGUGUGUGUCCUUCCCAGAGCUGUGCUCAGACAAAGAGGAUGACCCUCCCCAACGGAGGACCACUCUCAGCCGAGGGCACACACACCGCAGCUGUGCUCCUGAGCUGGAAACAGUACUCUCAUCUGACUUAAAAAUCUUUAAAUUGCAUUUAUUAUGUAUGUGUGUGUGUGAAUGUGCACACAUGCAUGCCAU
rnacentral:snRNA from 1 species